rnacentral:lncRNA from 1 species
CUGUGUAUUAACGCUGCUGUAUGGCUUUGAGAUUGAAAUUUCUGUCAUGUCUAAUCAGCUUGAAAUGAAGACUUGUGUUGAGUGGCAGCAAUUCACAAUAUAUUCCAUAGAAGAAAUAAAAUAACCUGGAUAAAGGUCAGAAAAUUCCUUGAUUUGGCAGGAUGGUAUUUUGGGCUCCAUAACAAAGAACGUCUGCACCAAAACCUAGAAGUACUUGGCUCAAUUAAUUUUUCCAUGUAUGCUGUUCAUUUUGUCAAGACAAUUUCUGAAGUUUAAAUUUUCUUCUGUUAACUAUGGUAUUUGCAUAAUACUAAUGCCCAAAGCACACAUUUAAUUUGUGAAUGUGGGUUUUUUUUCAUCAACAUUGUCACCAUUAAUGGUGUUUUCUGUGACUGGCUCUGAAAACUUGAAGGUCUAUUGAUGCAGAACUUCAGGAUUUACCCAAAGCAUGCUGAACUAGUAUUUGAACAAUAAUUGAGGAGAAAUGAAUCUAUGCUUGUUGAAGUGUCCUAAGUAUUUUAGGAAGAAAAAGAUUUAAAAAAACCAAAAAAAAAAAAAACCCUAUGGUCCUU